rnacentral:rRNA from 1 species
UACGUAGGGGGCAAGCGUUGUCCGGAAUCAUUGGGCGUAAAGAGCGUGUAGGUGGCUCGGUAAGUCCGCUGUGAAAGUCCAGGGCUCAACCCUGGAAUGCCGGUGGAAACUGUCGAGCUCGAGUCCGGAAGAGGCGAGUGGAAUUCCCGGUGUAGCAGUGAAAUGCGUAGAGAUCGGGAGGAACAUCAGUUGCGAAGGCGGCUCUCUGGACCAGCACUGACACUGAGGCACGAAAGCGUGGGGAGCAAACAGG